CUACAUUUAUAUGUUGUAUUAAAAAAGUUAAAGUACAAAUGGUACCACACAUCCCUUCACCAACCAAGAAUUAGAACUCCAAUUUUUGCAACAACCUAAAUAUCCAAAUUCUAAAUCUUAAAAAAGAAAACAAUAUAGAAAACAAGACAUUGUGACUUCUCUUGCAAAGUCCAUUAUCCAAGGGUGCUAGGGUCAAUAUUUUUAUUAUUUUUUAUUUUUCUUAUUUUAAUUUUUAUUUUAUUUUAGUACCCAUCGUUUUUUAUUA
rnacentral:lncRNA from 1 species